AGAAUAUGAGUCUGGAAUGGAGAUUGAUACACCUUCUUCCACUGGUACAGACCAGCCGUUGAAUCUUGCUAGUAUCAACCCUGAUGGUUCGAUUGACAAGACUGCAGGGAAGUCAUUUGGGCGCGUUAAGGUUAAGCUCAAGACUUCGAAGGUGUUAGAAUCACAGAGCGAUACUGAUAAGAGUAGCCCACAACUAGGUUUGGAGAAACAAGGUCUGGUUAGUGAUAAAAUUGAAGAUACUGGCAACUC
rnacentral:misc_RNA from 1 species